rnacentral:lncRNA from 12 species
UUGCAGUGCCAGGGCGGUGUUGGCGCUGCAGCCGUUCAUGGCUUCACAGCACAGCCUUGUCUUCCACACAGGCCAGAAGAAUGUGUAGCCUUUCUCAAAGCCUCCUGGAGCUGCUGGGUUAUGCAGAUGGAGAGGUGGUUGACAUGACCCUCCGUGUGUUCACCAAUGUGCUCCAGAACAAAGACAUCCUGAUAUCCAGCACCACCGCCCCGAAGCUGGCUGAGGCACUCCUGGAGCUCUUUGACAACGACAACAGCCAUGUGCAGGUGCUCUCCUUUGAGCUCUUCUGCAACAUGAUGGAAUUGGUAGUAGACGAGGGAAAAAAGGCCCUUAAGUCAGUUCUGUGCCAGAGCCUGCUCCCACUCUUCAUCCACUGCCAUGACGAGAAUCCAGAUGUGGCAGAGGCCUCUCGGCAAGCGCUGCAUUGUGCGGCCACGUUCCUGAAGAGGAGGGAUCUUGAAAAUCUGGUGAAGAAGGAACUCUGUUUCCUGAGCUUGCUGCCACCGCCAGGCUCCCUCCCUGCCCCUCAGGGCACUGAGGCUCUGUCACAGCUGCACAGGGCAUGGUGCUGUGACUGAGACCCCCUGACACCGAGCUCCAACCCCACAGAGCUGCUGCAAUGAUGUGGAGAGCCAUAGGCACAUCGGGACCUACAGUGGAGAAGGUGCUGCCAGCUCUGCUCUGUGUGAUGGAGGAUUGGCCUCUGCACAGCACGCUCACCUCGGAUGGGGAUGACACAGAUGUUUUUGUACUGGCUGCAACUCUGGUGAUCUGGGUGAUGAUCCAGCUGCCAAAGGGCCAGAAGGCCAUGAUGAUGCACGCUUCCGAACCUCUGUUUAUGGCUCUGCUCAUGCAAGAUGUCAUCACCUCACAGCAGAUGCCAAAAGCAGUUGAUAAAUUCUGGAGAGCGUGCCAGGAGGAACACCGCCUUCCCAGCAAGCCCAACAGGUUUGCACUGCAGACCAUGCAGGCUCUGCUGACAACCAGCACUAAGCCGUGGGACGGCUGGCCAGGUGAGACCCGCAUUUCCCCUCCCUCCCCGACAUUUGUGCUCUGUGCCCGCCCCGACCCUUCCCUCCCGCCGCUCUCCGCCGCUGGCAGAGGACAGGAGCCGAGCGGCCGAGCACCUGCGCCAGGCGCUGCCGUACCUGGACAGCCCGCAGGAGCCCCUGCGAGAGGCGGCCGUCAGGUUCAUGGGUGAGCCCGGGCUCCCUCCCCGCCCCGCCGCAGCUCGGCCCCAGCCCCGCCUGCUGCCCCGGCAGCUUCUGCCAUCCGGGCCCGGCGCCGCGGAGCCCCGGCUGCCCUCGGGGCUGCUGCCGCCCUCUCGCAGCCGUGCCCUUGGGCGGCAGCGUGCGGCAAGGGCCCGGGCUGAGCCCUGCUGGCCCACGAGGGCCAGUGGCCACAGGGCUGGCAGCGCCGCCGGCAGGGAGCUGUGCCGCUGGGCAGAGCCGUGACAGGGUCUGUGUUCCCAGGGAUGGCCAAGCGGUGCCUGAGGGGGAAGAGGGAAGAGCUGCAGGUGCUCAGUGAGGGUGAGUGAGGGCAGCGGGCUGUCAGCGGGGCUGGCAGGGGGAGCUGCAAUCCCUGCCCCGGCUGCGGAGGGCUCUGCUCCCUGUGCGGACAGAGGGUGGCGUGGGCAGAGCACACAGAGAUUUCGGGGACGCAGGUGGAAGGAUUCGUGGCCAGCACCUUGCAGCUGAUCCCGUUGGCCCUUCCUCUAUUGCAGCCAUGGCAAGAGCUGGCUGGGAUGGCCCUGGCAGGGUGUCCUUUGAUUCCCAUAGAUCCGGGCUCUCACUGUGGCUCUGUUUCCCUCUCUUGCAGCCCUUCAAGCCUUGAGAAGAGAUGACAGCCCUUCCAAGACAAACAUAGUUGUUCAACAGCUAUUCAGUGGAAGAGCUGCAGAACCAAGCUCAUCUGCAGGCUCAGAAGAACCAGCAUCCCAUUUAGACCUCCAGAUGCCAUGGAAGAUUAGGCUACCUGGAGAUCCGAAGAGACCAGCUGGAGCUCCAGGCAGAGCUGAACUUGUGGAAGCUUGCAUGGCUUCAGCCCUCUCCCCACUUGUAGAUAGAUAUCACUGACCAGCCUUAAGACACUGCUCAUCUCCUCUUCUUCCUUCCACUAUUCCUCCCUUUUGACUGCUCCCUCCUUCCAUCCCUCAGACUGUGCCCAUCCCUUUUUUCUCUUCCACAUUACUCCACCCCUCCAACCCUCAGACUAUGCCCAUCCCCUUUUUUUCCCCUUCAGCUCAUCCC